rnacentral:rRNA from 1 species
AGAGUUUGAUCAUGGCUCAGAUUGAACGCUGGCGGCGUGCCUAACACAUGCAAGUCGAGCGGUAACAGGUGUAGCAAUACAUGCUGACGAGCGGCGAACGGGUGAGUAAUGCUUUGGAAUCUUCCCAGUAGUGGGGAAUAACCAGUCGAAAGAUUGGCUAAUACCGCAUACGUCCGAAAGGGGAAAGCGGGGGCUCGUAAGACCUCGCGCUAUUGGAUGAGCCAAAGUCGGAUUAGCUAGUUGGUGGGGUAAUGGCCUACCAAGGCGACAAUCCGUAGCUGGUCUGAGAGGACGACCAGCCACACCGGAACUGAGACACGGUCCGGGCUCCUACGGGAGGCAGCAGUGGGGAAUAUUGGACAAUGGGGGAAACCCUGAUCCAGCGACGCCGCGUGUGUGAAGAAGGCCUGCGGGUUGUAAAGCACUUUUAGUGGGGACAAAAAGCUACGGACUAAUACUCUGUGGUCUUGAUUUAACCCAAAGAAAAAGCACCGGCUAACUCUGUGCCAGCAGCCGCGGUAAUACAGAGGGUGCGAGCGUUAAUCGGAAUUACUGGGCGUAAAGCGCGCGUAGACGGUUUUGUAAGUCAGAUGUGAAAUCCCUGGGCUCAACCUGGGAACUGCAUUUGAAACUGCAUGGCUAGAGUAUGGAAGAGGGAAGUGGAAUUUCCGGUGUAGCGGUGAAAUGCGUAGAUAUCGGAAGGAACACCAGUGGCGAAAGCGACUUCCUGGUCCAAUACUGACGUUCAUGUGCGAAAGCGUGGGGAGCAAACAGGAUUAGAUACCCUAGUAGUCC